rnacentral:rRNA from 1 species
GAUGAACGCUGGCGGCGUGCUUAACACAUGCAAGUCGAACGGAAAGGCCCAAGCUUGCUUGGGUACUCGAGUGGCGAACGGGUGAGUAACACGUGGGUGAUCUGCCCCGCACUUCGGGAUAAGCCUGGGAAACUGGGUCUAAUACCGGAUAGGACAGUGGUUUGGAUGCCAUUGUGGAAAGGUUUUUCGGUGUGGGAUGAGCUCGCGGCCUAUCAGCUUGUUGGUGGGGUAAUGGCCUACCAAGGCGUCGACGGGUAGCCGGCCUGAGAGGGUGUACGGCCACAUUGGGACUGAGAUACGGCCCAGACUCCUACGGGAGGCAGCAGUGGGGAAUAUUGCACAAUGGGCGCAAGCCUGAUGCAGCGACGCCGCGUGGGGGAUGACGGCCUUCGGGUUGUAAACUCCUUUCGCUAGGGACGAAGCGUUAUGUGACGGUACCUAGAGAAGAAGCACCGGCUAACUACGUG